rnacentral:rRNA from 1 species
UGAUAUACUUUCUGCGAAGCAUCUGCCAAGGAUGUUUUCAUUAAUCAAGAACGAAAGUUAGGGGAUCGAAGACGAUCAGAUACCGUCGUAGUCUUAACCAUAAACGAUGCCGACCAGCGAUUAGGAGACGUUGAAUACAAAACACCACCAUCGGUUGCGCGGUCGUCCUUGGCGUCUCGGUUUCGGCCGGGGCGCGGGGAUGGCUUAGCCCGGUGGCACCGGUGAAUG